AAGUCGUAACAAGGUUUCCGUAGGUGAACCUGCGGAAGGAUCAUUAAUGAAUCAAAGGCUGUGGGUCCCCUGUGGACCUGCACUUUUAUCCAUUUUUCACCCCUCUGUGCACAUCGGUGUCGAGCCCUUGAUCCUUCGAGGGCUUGCGCUCCUUUUUAUUCUAUAUACACUCUUUUCGCAUGUCAUGUGAACGAAUCAUAUAAAAUAUAUAUAUACAACUUUCAACAACGGAUCUCUUGGCUCUC
rnacentral:misc_RNA from 1 species